UACGAAGGGGGCUAGCGUUGUUCGGAAUUACUGGGCGUAAAGCGCACGUAGGCGGGUCGUUAAGUCAGGGGUGAAAUCCCAGAGCUCAACUCUGGAACUGCCUUUGAUACUGGCGACCUAGAGUCCGGAAGAGGUUAGUGGAAUUCCCAGUGUAGAGGUGAAAUGCGUAGAGAUGGGGGAGAACACUCGUGGCGAAGGCGGCCAGCUAGACCAGUUCUGACACUGAGGCGCGACAGCGUGGGGAGCAAACAGG
rnacentral:rRNA from 1 species